UUGUGUUUCCUUUGCCACACGUAGAAGUGACCUAACUUCCACGCGCUGUCUUACCCUUUUUAUUAACGUUAUCUUGCCACAGAACAGGGGGUGAAUGCGAGAAGAGUCGAGCGCAAGUUGAUUCACCUGCUAUCUUAUUGUCUGCAGUACAUAAAUCUUGAAAAGUGUGCUUUGAAUGGGAAAGGAUACCGACUUAAUGAUACAUUUACUCUAACUACAGCUGGGCGUGCGUGGAAUCCUAAUGUGCGCUGCAGACUCUUCAUUGUAACAGAUGUUGCUUUCUGCUUAUAAAAUCUCUUAACUCCCAAGUCAGCGUGUAGCAAGCUGCAAAUGGUAUUUCAAAAUGAAAAAUCACAGGUGUUUUCUGGAUGUCAUCCAAAGAAAGGAGCGCAGAUUUCAGGCAGAAAUCAAAUCAGACAACAUGGAAAGAUCCCCCCGAACAUCUCAGACAGUCAACAGAUGGUAGUUGUGCCAUUAAGAGUCAGCCUUCUCACCUGGGAAACUCAUGGCCAUGAGCAGCAAAAGUCACAGCUCCAGUAAUCAGAUGGUGUCCUGUCCCUGUCACCUGGAAAAGCCCCC